rnacentral:rRNA from 1 species
AUGCACGCUGGCGGCGUGCCUCAUACAUGCAAGUCGAGCGAACAGACGAGGAGCUUGCUCCUCUGACGUUAGCGGCGGACGGGUGAGUAACACGUGGAUAACCUACCUAUAAGACUGGGAUAACUUCGGGAAACCGGAGCUAAUACCGGAUAAUAUAUUGAACCGCAUGGUUCAAUAGUGAAAGACGGUUUUGCUGUCACUUAUAGAUGGAUCCGCGCCGCAUUAGCUAGUUGGUAAGGUAACGGCUUACCAAGGCGACGAUGCGUAGCCGACCUGAGAGGGGGAUCGGCCACACGGGAACUGAGAACCGGUCCAGACUACUACGGGAGGCAGCAGUAGGGAAUCUUCGGCAAGGGGCGAAAGCCUGACAGAGCAACGCAGCGUGAGUGAUGAAGGUCUUCGGAUCGUAAAACUCUGUUAUUAGGGAAGAACAAAUGUGUAAGUAACUAUGCACGUCUUGACGGUACCUAAUCAGAAAGCCACGGCUAACUACGUG